rnacentral:rRNA from 1 species
CAGUAGCCACGGGAAUGCGUAGGUGGCAAGCGUUGUCCGGAAUUAUUGGGCGUAAAGGGCUCGCAGGCGGUUUCUUAAGUCUGAUGUGAAAGCCCCCGGCUCAACCGGGGAGGGUCAUUGGAAACUGGGAAACUUGAGUGCAGAAGAGGAGAGUGGAAUUCCACGUGUAGCGGUGAAAUGCGUAGAGAUGUGGAGGAACACCAGUGGCGAAGGCGACUCUCUGGUCUGUAACUGACGCUGAGGAGCGAAAGCGUGGGGAGCGAACAGGAUUAGAUACCCCUGUAGUCCCUGUCUCUUAUAA